AUACGUAGGUGGCAAGCGUUGUCCGGAAUUAUUGGGCGUAAAGCGCAUGUAGGCGGUUUGGUAAGUCGGUCGUGAAAAUGCGGUGCUUAACGCCGUAUGGCGAUUGAAACUGCUGAACUUGAGUGCAGGAGAGGAAAGGGGAACUCCCAGUGUAGCGGUGAAAUGCGUAGAUAUUGGGAAGAACACCGGUGGCGAAGGCGCCUUUCUGGACUGUGUCUGACGCUCAGAUGCGAAAGCCAGGGUAGCGAACGGGAUUAGAUACCCCGGUAGUCCUGGCCGUAAACGAUGGGUACUAGGUGUGGGAGGUAUCGACUCCUUCCGUGCCGGAGUUAACGCAAUAAGUCCCCCGCCUGGGGAGUACGUACGCAAGUAUGAAACUCAAAUGAAUUGGCGGGG
rnacentral:rRNA from 1 species